CACGCAGCCUGCGCCGCCACUCACCAUGGCCGGCGCAUAACCAUCCCCCUCGACGCUCCAGGCCGGCGGCCCCGGUCCACGCAGCCUGCGCCGGCGCUCGCCAUGGCCGGCGCAUGAGCACCCCUUCUCGACCGGCCGCCCAUCGACGAUCAGGUCGUCGACUCGUUCACUUGGCCGCAAGCCGUCGUCGAGCAGCACGGACCGUGGAGCCCGUAGUAGUCGCUGAUAUCUUGGAAGAUGGAUGACCGUGAGUGGAUGUACACCGGCCGGGUAACUCGAGCUAGCAUGACCAAUGAAUGGAUUGAGAAGACUAACGAGUUCUUGGAAGGGGCAUGGGCGCAAGCUGAAGGGUCGAGAUUCAUGUGGUGUCCCUGCAAGAGUUGUGGAAACCAGAAACGAAAGACAAAGAAGGUCAUGGGCGAACAUCUUGUCAAUUAUGGAUUUACGCCAGAUUAUACCCUGUGGAUCUUUCACGGUGAAGCCCAUCGUAUGAGGGACGAGGUCGUGAGGCAACGCAUCGAUGAAUGUGAUGCUGCUGGUGGGAUUGGGGACAUGUUAGACGACUAUGAGGAGGCACAUUUCGGUGAAGGACCGCAGGAGGAGGAGCCAGAGGCAAGCACAAAGGCGUUUUACGAGAUGUUGGAGGCGGCACAGAAACC